rnacentral:tRNA from 1 species
GCGCGAGUGGCGGAAUUGGUAUACGCGCAAGAUUAAGGAUCUUGUGCCGCAAGGCUUGGGGGUUCGAGUCCCCCCCCGCGCACCA